CCAACCCACUAGACGACAGCAAAACAAUGUAUGUAUUUUGACAGAUUGCCACUCACAAAACCAAGCCACAAAGACCAAAACUUCACAUGUACAGUGAUACACCUGUUGCUGAGUGACUGAUCUAGUGAGGUGGCCAGCUCCACGGCUUUGGUUUCUGUAGACGAGUCCAGAAACACCAUCAUUUUGGCAGCUGCAGGAGAAGAGAGGAAGAAGAAAGGGGGAAGAGAGAGAGGAAGAAGAGAGAGGGGAAAGAAGAGAGAGAGGAAAGAAGAGAGAGAGGAAAGAAGAGAGAGAGGAAAGAAGAGAGAGAGGAAAGAAGAGAGAGAGGAAAGAAGAAGAGGGGAAGAAGAGAGGGGAAGAAGAGAGAGAGGAAAGAAGAGAGAGGGAAGAAGAGAGAG
ensembl:lncRNA